AACGAUUUCAUUGGGGGAUAUGACAACUGACAAGAAGACAUAGAUACAAAAAUGGCGUCGGUGUGACUAUUUCCAUCGUAGCAUAUUAGGUCUAUUUUCUAUUUUGUGUUGUGUGGUUUUAUUUUCAUAUAAAAAUAGAGAGCAAAUAGCGGAAAAGACUAUUGAUGACCAGUGGAAACGAUACUGGAAGGGGAAUAUUUGGUAACAUCUAGGGGAUUUUCAACAAAGCUACAAUGUCAUGUGGUCACUAUGUCUUGGAACGAUUUCAUUGGGGGAAUUCAUAUCAUGUGACAUUGACAUAACAAUGGCGCCGGCGUGACUAGUUAUCUACCAUGGUUUUGUAUAUACUUGUUUUAAAUAUGAAAAUGGAGAGCAAAUGGUGGAAAAGUCUAUUUUUGACCAUCGGAAACGAUAUUAUGAAAGGUAACUGAACAUACUUCGAUGGAUGUUAUUAUUGGGUGUUAUAAUUGGAUGAAGGAAUGUGAUGGGAUAUUACAAAAAAAUACCUAGAUAGGUCUUGCAAUAUACAGAGAAUAAGUCUGAUCAAACCUGAGGAGGUAGCUGUUAAAUACCAACAAUUAUUUAUUUUACACCCAUGUGGUAACCAUGAACUUUAUGGAUCUGAUUUUCGUUGGAUGUUACCAUCUGGUGUAGUAAUUGAUCAUAGGAAUCUGAUAGGGGAUAUUAUAAAAACAAAAAAAAACCAUACGAUGCUCUUGCACUAUACAGAGGAUAAGUCUGGAUGCAAUCAAAUCAAAAGAAGGCUGCUGUUGAAUAAAUACUCACAAAUAUUCAUUUUCUGACCAUUUGUUUUUGAAGUCUUCCCUGUAUUGGCUCUACUUCUGUAGUCUGGUAUAGGAGUUGAUUUGAAGGAUUGUUGGUAUGUCUCCAUUUGGUGAUUUUUCUUAGACAAGUUCUUUUGAGGCAAUCUCAAGUAUGAAUUAAUUUUCAAGGAAAAUAAUGAAUGUAAAUAUGUGAAAAUAAUAGUCCAGCUUGGAAUAAUUCACAAUGAAGAACAAGUUCAAAGUUUAUCUCAAGACAUGGCUGGACUGUUGGAAAAAGACUCGAAAGAAAAGGACUCAAUAGCAAAAUGUGAGAUGGAAAUGGCUGCAAAAAAUUGUGGAAAGCUUUCCUACAUUACUGCGAAGAAUCCGAAGAAAUUAAAGGUCACAUUCAUACAGGUGAAAUAAUUUAUCAAAUAGAAACAGAGUGUAGCAAUUUUUUAUUAGUUGAAUUAGUAGGCUCUGGAACAGGAAUUUUCUCACUGUUAGUAUUUCUCAAGUGUUGCAACCAUUUGAGUCAUUCUUCAUUUACUAAAAGUUCUAAUUCUUCAUUUAAUUCAAAACUCAUUUUCCAAAUGUCUUAAAAAAAAUCUUGCUCUGAUAGCAUAGUGGCGAAGAAACCCAAGAGGGUAACAAAUUGACUAUCAAUUGAUUAUCAACAUUUUUCUUUAGUAGUUGUUGCUUUCUCUUUUAAAAUUUCCUCAAUUUCCUUGGACUUUGCUCAAUAACAAUCUUCUUUUUUUAUGGUCCCAUAUAUUAUAUGGAGACCAUCUCUCUUGUGAACCUCUUGGACCCUAGUUAUCAAAUCUAAUACCUAAUCCACAGAACGAUCACUGUCUAAAUAGUGUUCCAUAAUUACCUUUGCUGUCACAAGAAAUUCAUGAUUAUCAUUUUGUCCUUUGAUAGUGGUGUGAAUCAUUCUCUUCAUUAACAGAGGAUCAGUUGAACCUGUAGUUCCCAAAAAUGAGGUUAACUCUUUAUAUUUUUAUAUGUUUAUAAUGGACCUUUCAUAAUAAAGCCGAUGUGGGAACUUCGUUUUUAGCCUUUUUAAAAAUUAUAGGAUCUAUGCGCAAUAACACUUUCUUUUCUCUUUUUUUUGCAUAUCUCAUUUGUUCUGUGUCUGAAAUUGGUGCUGUCGGGAAUAUUCUGAUUUAGUAAGCCUCAAUGGAAUUUAUUACAACCAUCUUUGUUGCAACUUUUUUCUUUCUACAAUAUCUGAUCCCAUGAUUGUUAUGCAAGCAACAGAAACAAAUUUUAUUUUCCUUUUACCCAUUCUCAUCUGCAGUCUGAAUCCAGCUGCUGGAAGUUACUGCAAGUAGAUGUAGUUCAUUUCAAAGUUCAUGCAAUUGAAUUUACUAGUAUGGUUCUACUCACUUGCGGCACAUAUUUUUCUUUCUUCCAAGAUCAGUAUCAGGAUGACUUAUUAUUUUGCUAUCUCACCAAACCACAGAAAUCAGAAAUAUAGAUGUUAUCAGUUUUAACAUUUAGUUCACUCACUUUUUUGUUCUAUUCAAAUUUCAAUGUUGUCGACAACUUGGAAACUUGCUCAGUGAGCUGUGGAUUGAAAAAUUAUGUUGUCACAGUUUUAAACAGAUUCUGAACUGCUAUGAGAGAUCAAUUAUUGGUAGUUCCUUGGGAAUGAACCAUCUUCAUAAGAACUUGCUUAUUUUAUCAUCUUGAAAGAAAGUUGAAGGUUAUGAAUGGUUUCUUUCAAUUCUUUAUUACAAUAAGAGAAACUUUGAUUUUCGAAUAUUAGAAAAAUAACAGACAUUUGUAUGAAACUGAAAGUAUCGACACAUACCCCAAAUUAAAAGAGUAGUCCACAAAUUUUUAUUCUAAAACAUAAAAUACAAAAAUAUGUUAAUAAAAAAAUAUCUUAAGAUAUCCAAGAAUAUUUCUUACAAUUUAUAGUGCCUAUUUGAUUCGAUGGAAUAUAGAAGUUGUUAAAUAAACUCAAAUCACACUUGUAAAAUUGCCGUAGGUAGGAAACUAAUAUUGCGUUUUUUGUUAUUAUGUGUGUAAAGAAAUUAUAUUUCUUCAAUUCUAAUCUGACCCCAUAGAUUGUGCUAAUUUUUAACUACCAUAGACAGAGUCUAUGGUGCCAAGGCCAGGGUUAUAUUGAAUACUUAAUCCUAUGACAAUUAUUGUUACUAGGCAACUACUGAACAAUAUCAUUCAUCUUUCAUUUCGAAUUCAUAUAGAAAGGGAAUUGUUUGGAAUAGAAACUUUAAUUGUCGUUUCUUUGUUUUCAGGUAGGUUGGCUAGUUAGGUGAACAAUGUAAUUGUACUAUUAUAAUCUUUGUUUUCAGAGCAA